CUUGCUAUAAAAUACUUGAUAUAAAAGGUUAUAUCGAGGAUUUAUACGUAUCAAAUUGUACAUAUUGUUAUUAUUAAAUUUUGAAUAAGAUAUUUUUAUAAAUCGAGAAAGAAAUUAAAUUAAUAGCCGUGUUACAAGGAUUUAUUCACUCUUCGGCUAAUGAAUAUUUUUUAUAUCAAUAACAUCACUCGAGAUAAACCACGAUCAAAAAUAAACUUCUCGGUGAUAAAUUAUUUUCCGGUAUUCUUAAAUUCUCAUGCUUGUUUGCCUUUCUUCGAUGUCAGCUUCAUUUCAAUAAAUCAUCUUUCGAAACUCAAAGGCUCGACAAGUUGACUUUUGCUUUUGAUUUUCGAGGUCAAGAACGUCAUUCGUAAAAUUAACGUUUACUUUAAAAAAAAAAAAAGAAAAAAAAAGGGGAGAGAGAAAGAGAGAGAGAGAGAGAGAGAGGAGAGAGAGAAAAGAGGAAAAAGAGAAAAAUGAAUCGAUGAAGUGACCGCUAUUUGCCUUUCAGAUUAAUGGAGAUUGCGCGAACGUUAUCAAAGCACCGAACCAGCUUUCACUGUCGAACGUGGUAAAUUUAUAACGGAUCACAGGAAAUUCCUUUUAAGCCUCCAACCUCCGAGAUCGUUUAAGAAUCUAGCGCCGGAUUUCGCGCCGGUGGAAUAGUUAAACACCUCGUUUUGCGUUAUCUUUUUGAAAUCCAUCGCCACGUAAAUCGAUAAUCGUUUUAUUUUAUUAAAUUGCUUGCUUUUAUCUCGAAUCGUUCGAGAGUCUACUCUAUCCAUUUGCGACAGGAUAAAAUGAAAUUUGAAGGGAAUGAAAGGGAGUCGAACGAAAGACGAUCGCGAAAAAGAUUGAAAAGAGAAUAAUUCGAAGAUCUUUGAUUGAAGAAGAAAUCGAGAUAACUUUUGUGUAAUAGAAAAAAAAAAAAAGAAGAAGAUAGAAAUUUGAAUUUUUUCUAUCGUUCAACUUCUAUGCAAAUUCAUUCAGAGGAUGAAAGUUGAGUAAGAAAUUCUUUUUUUUUUUUUUAUCAGUUAAAUGUUACACAGUAUUUUAACCGAUCACGUGGAUAACCUUACGUAUUUCUUAAUCAAUAAUAAUUUUACUACGAUUCGUAAAAGUAUUUAAAAAGUUUUUUAUUUUUUGAAAUGUUAACGAACACUUUUUCACUUUUAAUGAAACUUUAUGAACGCGUACAGCAUAAUAGGUUAUACACGAAGCAAUUUUCUUUCGCCGAAAUAUCACUUUAAAAAGGUGAAAUCAACGCUCAAAGUUUCAGUAUGAUUUUCGCUUUUUAAAUAUAACUUUGUAAUGAAGCGAGAUAAAGCAAAAUUUUAAAUUACGAAAUGUCCAUAAUUUAGCGUUCUAACGCUAAAAAAUACCGAAACUUCGAUUUCACGUCCUCGAGGAAAUUUCUAGUCGAAAAAGAAAAAAAAAAAAAAAAAUUACGUUCUACAUAUUUCAUUAAAAUCAGACUUUUUUUUAGGUUAGAUAAAUUUCUCUCCGCUUUCGCGACCCGCUACGUUACAUAACAUUAUUUAAAAUAACGAUAACAGUUUUUCCAAAUUAAAUUUUCAACAUAAGAUCAAAGAUUUCGAAAGUCGUAGAAAUCAAACAACUUGAUAAAAUUGAACGCCGAUAAAGGAACAGAACCGAUCCAGAGCCAUCGGUAAACAAAUCCAGAAGAAAAUUCCUCGAUCCUCUUACGAAUUGCGCCUCUUGCCUUAAUUUCCCGACCAUAUUUACCUCGUUUACCAUUAAAAAUCGGUAAAGAAAAAAAAAAUCUUCGACAAACUAACUGCAAUUUCGAGAUACGUUUCGAGGCCAACCCUAUACAUUCUUAUUUAACAUUCCACUCUCGCAUCCUCUCGGCCAAGAAUAAAUUAGUCGCCCGAGAUUGCCCGUUCGAAUUUCCGCGCGCAAAAUUCGAUUUAAUUACUGGCGGCCAGACCCCGCGAGUUCGUCAUUAAUUACCGGUGCGAUCGUUAAGUAACGCGAGUCCUCUGGCUGUCGGAGAAUAAAAAAGGGGCGGCGGCCAAAUGGUGCCAUAAAGCGGGGCGCUCGGUUUUAACGAAUAGCGCGGUGCACACCGUUCAAUUUUUAUGGUCGCCGCGAAAAAUCGGUCACGGAAACGAAUCGCCGCGUACGCGAUUUGUAAAUAAUCAACCCGGCUAAUGCGUUUUAUCGCGAGCCCCAACCCAUUUGCCGAUACCUUCUCGCGACGAGAAAUCGUGCUUUUAAAAUAUGCGCGCCGCAUAUGCGUAAAUUGGAGACCCGUUUUUAUCGUUUUUAUCGAUUCGAGGAAAUAAUCGUCGAUAUCUUCGUGAAAUUAUCCGUUGCUUAUCUCCAGUUUUGGAUUGAAUUUUCAAUUUUAUUGGAUCGAGGAAGAAAUUGUUCGAUAUGAGAUUUCUAGGAAUUGUUAAAUAGUCCUCUCGAGUACUUUAAUUCCUUGGAUCUGGAUAUAUAUUUUUGGGUUUGGGUAUACAUAUUUGUGAUAUACGAAGAGAUUUCUCGAUAAUUUUUAAUAAUUUUGUAGAAAGUUUGGAAGUUUCAAAGUUUCGUAGGUAAUUAGUAAGUUGAAAAUUUAUUAAGGAUUCGAUGAUUGGUAAGUUUAAUAAAAAAGUUUUUUGGAUAAUUUUAUUAAUAAUUGUCAGUGAUUGACAAUUUAGUAAAAGAGGUCUUGCUUAAAUUUAAUACGAGAAAAUGAAGAUAAUCCAAUCGAAAUGAUAAAAAAUGGUUAUGUAAAUUUGAAAUGGAAUUGAGAAAAAGAAAUGGGUUCUAAUUAAUAUUCUUUCAAAAUUAAAAUUCAACGUACAAAUUUUCAAAAUGUCAAUAACUUGAGAUGGCGUUAUAAGUUAUUUAAAAAUUUUUUAUAAAAAUAUCUAAUUCUUCUUCAUAUUCCUAUCAAUUGUAUAUUUGAAUUAUGAAUAGCUAUUAAGUAACAUAAAAUAUGUAUCUGUUCAAUCAAAUUUUCGAAAGACUAUUAUGCCACAUCCUUAAUAUUAAUUGUUUUCAUUGUAACUUCACUGUAAAAGCUUAAAAUUGUAAAAAUUAUUAAAAUAUUAUUAAAAUUCCAAUGUAAAUAUCCUUUUUCCAGAAUCCAAGAUAAUUGAAAAUAUAUAUAUAAUUAAAUCACACCUAUUAUAUAACACAAGAUCUACAUUCGAUCAAAUUUAAGACAUUCCUUAAUCAUUUCAUCGUCGUUUAUUUUACCCUAAACCGAAAGAUGAAAAAGCAAAGAGGAAGGAAAAAUUCAAAAAUUCUACGCGGAAAGAUCGAACGAGAUCAUUACGAAGGAAAAUCAACCACAUGGACGCACACCCAGCUGUCAUCGUUGGACAUCGACUCCAACGUUUCUUCAGCCAGUCGCGAGAGCAUAUGGCGGUUGAGAGAGAGAGAAAGAGAAAGAGAGAAUUAUCAGAGACACAGCGAGGACGCGGCCGAGACGAGCGAACAAGAUGAUCGGGGAUGAAAAAGGUGCUGCGAGGCGUCGGUGGUUUUGUUGGUGCCAGAAAGGAGAUCCCCCGCUGAGAAUCGCGCUCAAAGAAACCGACUGUGUCGGCCUUUCCUGCCCCCCUCAUCCCUCUUCUCCCUCCCCUCUUCGUCUGGCCAGCUGUCCAUAAAUCUUCGGCCCUAGACAAAAGCAGGAAAAAAAUGAAGGGCAUCAAUUAAAGGCGGCGACUCGGGCCUGGCUGAUGACGCUUGAAAAUUCGCCGAUCAGAGCGUAGUGCACCCCUUUGGCGCCUCGCGGGCAUAACAGCGAUCGUUAGAGAAUGACGUGCACGUGUCUUCAACAUAUUUCAUCCACCGGAUCAUUGUAUAUCAUUUUAAUUACCGUGUUGAAUUUUUAUCGAACGCGAGACGAAUACUUUCUUUGCUCGUCUGGUCCCCUGGCUUACAUCUCUUUCUUUUUUUCUUUUAUCGUUUUGCAGGUAAAGUGAGUAAGUUGUAAGAAAGAAAAAAAGAAAGACAUCGAAUUUAUUAAAAAGUUUGAAAGAAACGUGAUUUCUAAGACCUAAUUUCUAAUGGAGCAAGGAGUUUGUCAGGAAUUGUGAUUGAGGAAAGAAGGUAUGGAUCGUUACGAUUAAAUAUACAUUUGUCGAAAAUAUAGGAGGAAAUAUUUAUAAAAAUUGAAAGUUAAAAUUGAAAAACUAAUUUUUGCGAUCCGACUUAGGCGAGUAUCGAUCAUUUCGAUGGAGUUUUAUUUAAAUAUUGAGAAUGAUAUUAAAACUUAAACAAAUAUAUGUAUGUAUAUAAAUAGUAUAAAAUAAUAGUCGGCAAAGAGUUGAAUAAAUAAAUUGGAAAUAAAUUUUUUUUUAUAUAUCGUUUACCGUUUACUUCGUAAUUAAAAUCUAAAUAAAAUAUGAAAUAUGAAAUUUACAUAAACAUUUCGUUUCUACAGAUUGAAAUCAUUUUACGAAAAAAAAAAAAAAUAACAUUCGUGGGCAAUCGUAUCCACGAUUGACGAAUAUUUUUAGAUACUCGUUAAAUCGAUCGAUCUAAUAAUGCCAUUUUCACUCGCGAUUAACGCAAUUUUCCUUGCAGGGGGAAGGGGAAUCGUGACACGGCCAUCUCACAAAAAGGGGAAUUCAUUACACCGGUAAUUGAAAAUCGCUAUGAACAGGAUUGAUCAAUCUUCCAGCGAAACGCAGCACAGAAUCGAGAGCUUUAUCCUCUGUUAAAAUCCUUUCGAAAAUUAAAAUUAAAAUAUAGCAAUGAUUCGAUCUCGUGUCAGUUUCACUUUAUACCAAGAUUUGUAUACAAGGUUUUCGUACAAACAAGAGACAGAGCAAGAUAAUUCAUGUUGAAAAUGAUUUCAAUGAUUCUCGUCGGGUUCAUCAACCGGGUUACUUCGAACGAGUUACCUCGUAUCGACUGAGGCGGGUCGGGUUUUGAAAAGAGGAAAAAAAGAAUCGCCCCGAUGCCCGUCCGUUUAAAAAUGUACAUUGACUCGUUUUUUAACGGAAGUUGAAAGGGUGCCAUUGAAAUACGAUCCCAUUGUGUUGUCGCGAUUCGCGGAUGCUCCCUAGCACAGGCGGUCUCGUUUCGUUUGGAAGAAAAGGGCACCGCGAAAAUAUCCCUCCUUCGUGCUCGUGAAGAAAUGAUCGAGCAUUAACGCUCGAACCCACCAUCUUCCACGGAGCUCCUUCUCCUCUCUUUGUUCCUUCAAUUUGAUUUAAUCCAAGGGAUGAUAUCAAGUUUGUACGAAGAUGGUACACGUGUAUAGAAUUGUAUCUUACAAUGCAAGAAAAUAAUAUGAAGAAAAGUAAUAUUUUAUACGAAUAUGUGCACCUUGUCUCAAAUAAGUACUUGCUAAGCAGAUGAAUAAAUUGAGUCCGUUCAAGUCCAGAAAGGAUUUCUUUUGGAAAAAUGUUGUCUAAAAAAUUAUUCAACAUCUCCAAAAUAUCGCCUAAUAUUUUCUUUUCAUUCAGUGAAUAAUUGAUAAACGAGGAAACUUUGAAAGUGUGAGAAGAUGCAUGCCUUGAAUAGAUCCAGAUUGCUGAUGAAGGGUUAAUCUUCCCUGUUGGACGCGAUCCGUCCAUUGGUCGAAAAAUUCCUGCUCGGGUCCGACGAAUUCUCUUCUGCUGUUUUCGAUCUGAUCUAAUCAGAUGGUAAUAGCACCUGCGAAGCCAAGAGUCCAACCACCUGGACUCGAUCUACCGCGUGCGUUGAUUAAUAAUUGGUGUCUGGCGAGGAUAGAAAUGGAAUCGCGUGCGCCUAAUUCGUAGGCGGGCGUUUUUGAGUUAUUGGCCUUUGUGCCCUUUGUCCAUCGGAAUGGGGACACUCGAUCAAACGUGGUAAUACAAACGGAGAUCGUUCCGUUCGCCGCGCUUGAAAACGCGGGUACGGCGUGAAGUGGAAAAAUGAGGCAGUUUCUCUUUACUGAUGUCGGGAAGAAAGGGGAACGCGAGGAGGAUGAAAGAAAAAUCGGGGACACGGGCGCAAGAAGUUGGACAUCGCCGACAGGAAAAUCCACUAGGCAUAGGUUGGCGAAUUGGGAAAACAUGUCACCCCAUAAGCCCAAUCUUAUUUCACUCGUACUCUCUGCCUCGGUCGGGAGCAGCCGCGCCUGUAAACAUCCGACAGAGACAAAGGAGGAACUAAAACGUGCCGGAACGAUUCCGUUUUAACGGUGAAUUUAUAGCGGCGCGUGAUUUUCGCCCCGAGAAGAUUUCCACGGGCCACCUCUCCUUUUUCUUCCUUCAAAUCCGCUGUUCCGCAACCGUGAAAAUACUUCUUCCCUUCGAUAACGCGGAAACGAGAAUCGAAACGAGAUCGCGAUGGCUUCCGUAUGCAAAAGGAACGGGUGAAAAGCAAGGGAAUAACUGGAAGGAAGAGGGACGAAACGAGAAAAAGAAAAAUAAGGGAAAAAAGGGGAUGGAAUGAAGAAAGAGUGGAGCAAGUUAAAGAAGACGAGAUCCGUAUCGUAAAAGGGAAGGUGGCAAAGAGAAAGAACGAUGUGGAGGAGAGGUCGUUUAGAAAGAAAAGGAGGGAGCUAACGAAAAUAAAAAGAGAUAGAAAAGGGUGGCAAAAAGAUAAAGGAAGGAUAAAAAAAAAAGACGAGAUUCCGCAUCGUAAAAAGAAAAGGCUUGUAAACAUGGAGAAGAGAUAGAACGAUGUGGAAAAGGAGAUAAAUCAAGAGAAAAGGGGGAAAAAAAUCAAAGCAAAAAAAAAGAGAAAAAGAAAAAGAGAAAGAAGAAAAAUAAGAAAGAGAGAGGAAAGAAGAAGUCGAGAAGAGCGACGAGGUUACGCGCGACAUACGAGUUAACACGAGCGACAAGGUGCGUGAAUCUGCGUGCGCAUGCACACUUGUGAAGAGGUAUACGGGGGCCACGAAUGUUGGCACAAGGGGUGGUGAGCUCGUGCCACGCACGAACACACGGUUGCAGUAAGCGUUGGUCGCGAGCAUGCACUCGCGCCUGCAUGUAUACGUGUCCUCUCUAAGAGCUACCCCUCAAGUGAGAUAUGGAUCUUCCGGCUCGUUGAACAUACAGAACAGAACGUUACGUUACGUUACGCGCGGUGGGAAGGGGUUGCCAGUGAAUGUAAACCGCAAUACCGCCCCGCGGCGUCCACUCGACGUGUACUAUUGAUAUGAACCACCUAUCUCCGCUCUGUCUUCCUCCUCGCCUUUCCGCCGUGUCGUCGAAUCGUCAACGUGGCGCAUCCACCUUUUACGCGGAGUUAUUGUUCACCUUGCAUUGAACAGUUUCAGCUCAUCAUCUGAACAAUCGUCGUUGCUGGUGUCGAGGUGUUUCAACGGGUUUCCUCUUUUUCAUCCAAAAGGAAGUUGAGAAUGAAAUUUAUAAUUUUAUUUCGACGAAACGAAAAGUCGUAAAAGAUUUCUUCUAUAAGAAGAAAGUAGGAUGACGUAAAGAAGUUGUAAAUUCAUUUCCAUUCGCUUCUGUUCUUAUAUCCUAUAGAAGAUGGAGGACGAGCAAACGGUUGGGUAACAGAGAAAUUGAUUAAGAUAGCGGCGUUUGCAAACGAUAAACAGUAAUUGUCCGUCAAUAAGGGAGACCGUGCACGGUUAUAUGCAUAAUCGUGUACCACUCUGUGCAUCUCUACGUAUAACAAUAAUAGGAUGUUAGGUUACGUCACGCGUAAUGGUUAGGGGUUAGCCGAGUGAAUGUAAACCGCAACGCUACCCCCAUGACGUUCAUGCGACAUUACUAUUAAUACGAUGCAACGUCCCAUUCGCUUUUCCAACGUGAAAUCGAACGGGCCUCGGUUCUCUCAUCGACGAAAUUUACGCGUUGUCUUAAGUCGAAUGUUCACCAUUUCGUACUUUGCAUCGUGGAUCGCACACGAGUUUUUAUCCAAAUUAUUAAUUAAGCAAACAAAGUAGAAUUAAUCUCUAAUUUAAUUACAGAUUAUCUUCCAAUUGAAGAGAAGGAAUUUGUUAUAAAUAUUUCACUUGCACAAAAGUCCUCAGAUUAACAAACGAAUUAGAAACAACUGGUGUACGGCAAAAUUGAGAAAGAUAAAUAAAUAGAACAUCCAGAGAUUCGUUAUUCCACGAAAUUUCGAAAAGCAAAAAUAAAAAAUACUUUGCAAAUACUUCAUCGUUCGCUUUUCACCGUGAUCGAAUCAUCGUUAAUGCACAUCCAAAAUUGCAAAAGUCUAGAUCCGUCUUCAAACGUCCCACGAUCUGUGAAAGAAAAGAAAGAAAGGGGUGAAAAAAAAAUAAAAAGAAAAAGAAAAAAAGAAAAUGAAGAGGCAUUGUCCGCGAGAAGGAAUUCUUGGCAAAGUCGUUCCAUUCAAGAUUCCAGUUCAGGGAUAUCGAGGGAAUUCGAUGAAAUUAAUAGCAACCGGCUGUUCUUGAAUUAUCGUAUACUCGAGUGGCGCAACGCAGGGAUGAAUUAAAGCCCCUCUCCAUCCCCUUUAAGCGUCAGACAAAGCCUGAAGUUUAAGCAGGAUUCGUCCGGUCUACUACGAUGAAUACGGCGAUAUAAAUCAGCUUCGUUAUAGAAAGUGCAGCCGGAAACCCGCUCUAAAAGAGAAUACUCGUAAUACAUAAUACAGUAGUCGAAUAUAGUAGCUUUCGCGCUUCCCUCGCGGUGAUUUCAAUUAAUUCGUGGACUUGUACACGAAUUGACCAAGAGGUUUAUAUAUACGAUUCAAAGUUUUGUUUUGAAGAUGGAAAUAUCAUUUGUCAAUUAAUAUGUCCUUAAUCGAGGAAUUUGAAAUGGCUUCGAGGAUUUAUGAUGAAUAUUGAAUCGAUCUGAAAAGUAAUUUAUUUUGCAGUGAAUACAUCGAUUUCGAUUAUUUCUGGGAUGUUAAAAUCUUGCAGCGAAUCGUUUCGCAUUUAUUAUUAUUAUCGCGUCAUUAACGUAUCGGAUUUCGUCUCGUUUACGUUGUAAUUAGUAUAUUCGUCAAACCAAUGCCUACUUUAAUUUUGCGUGAAAAUAUAAAAUUGUAUGGUGUAGAAAGGCAGCGUUGGAUGAUGUGGAAAGGGGAACGCGGAUUAUGUAAUGUAUUUGAAACGUUUAUUAGCGAUUGAACUAUAGAUUCAUUGAAAUUGGCGGCUCAUUCACCGGACGCUAAUUUUAUCAACCAAUACCGAAGUUUCGGUUUUCAAUAUCAAAGUUCUCCUGUUAAUUAAUGAAAUUCGCCGUGCUUCGUUUUUUGAUCGUUCAAACGAGAUAUUACUUUUUCCUGAACCUGUCAAAGCUUUAUGCGAUUUCACUGUUUUUACAAAUUUAAUUUAAGAAUUAAGAAUUUUAAUAAUGCAAAUGUAUACAUGUAUAUAUAUAUAUAUACAUAGAGAGAGAGAGAGAGAGAGAGAUCGAUAUACCGACAUAGCUAUUGAAAUAGAAAGAUCUUUGGAACAUGCAUAAAUGCAAAUGUAUGGAGCACAAUGUACGGAGGUAUCUAUGCUUCGAUAAAUACAGUCCUAAAAUUGAGGAACUCGAUGUAGACAAUCAUGAAUACACGGAAUCGGAAUCCGACGAAUUUAAACCCUAUAGAACUCGAUACAAGCAAGCUACGGUUCAUGAGUUUCUACAUUCUGUGAAAUCUAGAAAUGCUAUUCAAGCGGCUGUAUGUAUUCGUAAGAGCUGAAUAAUAUUACAUAAUAUUGAAUUUAUGAAUUGCAGAAUUAAAUCUAUAAAAUUUAAUAAUUGCUACGAAGAAUACGGUUCGUCUAACUUUAAAAUAAAAUAAUAAUAAUAAUCCUCGUUUAAAUUCGUUUCUUUCAACGAGCAAAAAUAUAUUCGCAACAACUAAUGAAUUAUCAUCAAGAAGUUACGUCGUAUUGAAAAUAAUACUACAACAAUAUAUCUUAUUAUAAUUCUAUCCUCGAAAAAUUCAAUUUUUAUUUGUAGACGAGAGGAAUUAUUGAAAAAAAUGUUAAAGAGGAGAGAAAAAAGAGAUCUCGAAGUUAGAAGAAGAAUUUUCGGGGACACACAAUCGGAAAUCACAAAUCAUCUGUGAAGAAAUUUAAGUCUCUCUCUGUGCAACUUGCGUCGUCGUAAAUAAAUGAAACGGGGAGUUUGUGCGCGACCGCGACCAAUGAACUCGGUUUUCUUGUAAUUCACCACCGAAACGGUUAACCGCGGCAGAACUUCGGGUGGAGCAAUUAAUCCGAUAACGAUAACGAUGUUACCGAUGAUGCAGCGGCCAACACAGAGGACCGAUCGUUUUACAAACACCGUGAUCCUGUUCUAGAAACCGAUUCUCCGGAUCUAUCCGACAGGCAGAUGCCCAUGUGUACGCGUUGCGCAAUAUGGCUUACCUCGUCGCGCAACUGUUUAUUGUGCCAACCGAAAUAAACACCGUCCUCGUGCAGAGCAACGAGGAAAUAAUCCCCUCCUCCAACCUGAUCCGCAUGAUCCAAACUUGAUUCACCUCUUGCCUUACUGUUAAUACCGUGCACAGUAAUUGGUCUAGCGAUUGGUUUAGGUUUAAAGAAAAUCUUAGUCAUUUUAAAACUUUUUCGCUCGUUAUUCGUUUUACUUUAAAACGGCGUUGAAACAAUCCAUACCAAUCUAAAUUCGAUAAUUCGUAAUGUAAUAAAAUAAGUAAAAUAUUGUAGAGGACAAUGAUCAAUGAGAUUGUACGAACAGAACGAAUCAGGAUGAAAGAUUUUAACAUUCUGUUCUUUCAUCUUCAUUAUUAUUCACCUUCCUCGUAAUUCACGCAUCCGAAUUAUCGCAGGUGUUGUUUGGCGUGUAUACUCGUUGCAUCACAACGAAACGGUAGUUCGAUCACGAUCCGGGGUGGGGCAAUUCAUCGUGGAAUAAUUUGCAUUCCGUACGCGGGAAAGGGACAAGAAGCCACAUUAUUAGCCCGGGGUGGAAUGGAAUUGGCAUCGAAUUCGGGGAAAAGGAACCGAUAUUUGGACGCGAGAAAAAGGAAGAGCGGACCAAUGUGGAAAGAUGGAAGAGGGAGAGAGAGAGCCCUUUCCCCUGUGAUUCUCCUCUGUUCAUUUCUGCUACACGCGGGAACAACCGGUGUGUACCCGUAUGUGUCCAUUACAAGGAGAAAGAGAAAGAGAGAAGCGGACUCACGGUGGGCUUCGCCGAAGAAUGGAAGAUUUUCAAUGUUCUCCUCUUUGGAAGACAUCGAUGGCCCCUCCUCAUCCUGUUCCAUUUCGGUUCCUUUCUCCCGGAGCUCUUCCACCUUGCAGAAUUAAACUCCUGGCAAGUCGAGUGAAAAGUCUCAUCGGCGUGUUCAUUGAGAAACGGCUCAGGAGGGAUCUCUCCUUCCCCCCCUCGGGGAGAAGGGAACCUACGUAGAGCUUCCAAUAUCUUUGAUAGGGUUUCGAGAUGCGUUCCAAGAUGGCGAUCCAAGGGCCGAGCUUAAUAUAGAUGUUCAUUUGGAUAAUUGAAAUCAUUCCGUCUGAAUUUCAUGGGCCGGUGCACGCCUCGUUCCGGGUUGAUCAUAGUAAUCGGUAUCGCGGUAUACGCACACACACACUCUCUCUCUCUUACCGAGGGACAAGAUUGCGUCGUUCGGGGAACAAUUGGCUGGCGGAUGGCCGGAUGUGCAUCACCGUCACGAAUGUCGUUAUCGUUAUCGAUAACGACUGAUUUGCGACGGUUCGAACUGGCAGUAGUCGCGGAGGCCUCGUCGUGCGGGCCUCUUUCGAAUCGUCAAGGCAUGACAAUCCGAUUGUGUACGUGGGUAAUGCCGCUUUGAUUCACCCACCAGCCUAUAAUCGAGCUUUGUGUUUUCGCUUAACGAGCUUGACGUUUAAGAGUACCCUCUUGGGGUCCACCCGCCUCUCUUGUUUCGCUAAUCUCUUUUGAAAGUUAGAGUCUAUUAAAAGGUCCUAAAAGGUUGACUGUAAAUGGUUAUAUAUUUACAGUUGGUUACGAGGCUGUUCAACCGUUCGAAUCGAAUGAUAUCUAUCGGAUUAAUCAAAAGAUUAAUCGGUGCGCUUUCUUCGAUAUCCCUUGAUGCAAAAUAUAAAGAAAAGAAGGAUGUGGAGGGGAAUUAAAAAUAUUCGAGAUAUAGAUAACGAAUCCAUCGCUCCAAUAUAUUUUCGUACCGCUGUUAUAACGAUGCGUGAUAAAUAUCGAGCAUAAAAAGAGAGAAAUAGAACGAUGAUUACUAUGUGGAAUAAAAAUGGGGUGCGAUACUUGGAACUGGACGAUCAAAAUGUCAUUAUUGUUAUCAAAUUGAUGCGCUGUUGUGACAGCAGUUAUGUUACGUGGAUCUCUUCGAAUGUAGGAAAACGAGAUUAUAGUCUUAUUUGGAAAUGACAAAUAUUUAUCGAUCGACGAUAAAUAGAAUAAAAUUUUUCAACGAAUCAGCAAUGAUUAUUCUAUUAAAAAAAAAAAAAAUUCAGAAUCAAUCAACAACAAUUCUUUAUUCGAGCGUAAUGUAUCAAUAUAUCGCCCAUUUUUAAAUCAAUUUUAAAAACGUCCUUUUAAUCUCUACAUAAUCUCUUCAUCUCCCCCUGCAUUAUGUAUACAUCUUCUGUACACUUUUGGACUUUUAAAUUCAUGUAUUUUAAUAAUUAGACUACGGAUUUCCAUACAAUUAUGGAACCCAUAAAACUCGUUUAAAAUUCCUUAUUAAAAUUAGGAAAAAUUUGAACCGCUACAACUCCGAAGAUAAUUACUUUUGAUGAACGAAUGAAAAGUCAUUAGAAGCGCGAAAUCUUCCCUUUUAAAAUGCUUUUCGAUUUAUCACGAUACGACUUUCCGUUCCCGAGAUAUCACCGUGCAAAGAAAGGGAUAAUUUUUAAUCGUUUAAUAUCUCCGUCCUUAUCGUUGACACCUCGUCUCACUGACCUAUGCCAAACUCCAAACAAGCGACAAGAGAGAUUCUUGGAAGAACAUGGCACGCGAUUCCUAGAAAAAUAUAUAGGUCAGCGAGUCACGGACCUAUUUAUAAUCAAUACAUUGUCUCAAGCGCAAUGAACACUUGGAGCUCUGAUAUCUCGACAAUGGAUUGAGAUAUCGAGAUGAAUCAAAAAGUGACUUCCAUGGUUUCGUACGAACGGUUAUGGUCAACAUAGACACGAUUUAUAUUUUGCAUAAUACAAUUUAAAUAUAUUUUAACAGGAUAAAAAUGCUCAGUUUAUUUAAAUAAAUUUCUCGAUAUUAAGUAAAAUAUCACUCGAAAUUUGGACGCGUGAACGAGUUAAUAGCAAAAUGGAUGGAAUUCCGUGAAUGGCGAUCGAGAAGAGAAUUCAAUCCGCGUUCCAGGUUAGUUUUAGCAGGCGAAAGAUCCGUAACGGAAAUGGAGAAUAUAGGAAAGAGAACGAGUUGGGAGAGGGACACAAUUCCACCAUAUAGCCGGGUGCAUCGUCGUACGAGCGCGCGAUCGCAGAUAGGCACGCACGCGUUUUACCAAGAGAUUGAUUAGAACCGUUGUCUCUAUUUGAAUCGUGAAUCCAUCCUCAAAGACAAAUGAGCGUCGCGUCAUUUACGUGAACGAACCACCCGUGGUUGCACAGCUGGCCACCUUCCUCCAUCACCGAUAUUAAUACGCGAGUAUACGUCAUUUCGUGGUUCAGCAAUGUUUAUCGUCCUUGCAGAUCAAUCAUGCGUCACGCCAGUACACCAAAUUGCUCUAUGAUCUCGUGCCCGUUCUGAUUCGGGCUUGGCGACCAUCAACUGGCCGCCGCUAUCGUUUUACACCAUUUUUUAUCGCGUUACUCGUUGGUUUCGUGAAAUGUGAAGCUUGUAUUCGAGAUUCGAAUAAAAAAAAAAAUAUUAAAUUUCGAAAAAUUACUAGGAUUUUAUCGCAUCAUGUAUCAUAAAAUAAGUUGCUUCUCUUCGUUUCUUUUUAUCAAGACACACGAAUAUUGAUCUUAUUUAGUAACAAUUAGCAACAUUACUAUUUCUAAUUUCUAUCAAGAAGGACUAAUCGCUCGUAACGAACUCGAUUCGCAAGUCACCAGUCAUAAUUUCAGUCCCGCCGAUAUAUCUAUCUAACGUAUAAAUAAUAAUGAAAUAUUAAAAGAAAUGGACAUUCGAUAUAAAGAGAAAGAUCCAAAAAUCCGUAAUUCUAUCGAACGAAACGAAACGAAGAAAUAAAUGAAACUCUAGCAUCCAUCCCGUUAAGGAAUAUUGAAGUUUCUGUCGGCUGGUGUUCGAUCGGAGACACGGUGCAUAAUCAGUAAGGCGCGUGUACCGAGACAUCUACAUCAUGUCGCGUUUCCAGGCCCCGGAUUAGACUCGGUGGUCCUGGCACUCGACCGCGGGAAGAUAUGUGUGUGACCCAGCUGUGAUUCUCAUUGAGCGCGUUCAUCAAUCAUUUAAAUGUAACACACGGUCUGAUAUCGAGCACCCCUUUCCUGGCUGCAGGCUAACCAACCUCUCUCUCUCUUUCUCUCUCCCUGCUCACUUUGUCUUGACAUCUGUCAAAUCGUGGCCCAGCCAGCGCCCGCCUAUUGUUCCUUUUUCUCUGUCGGCCCAACCCCUUCCUCCUCCCUUUAUUCUCUUUAUCUCUUUCGGCUCGUGCAUAAUUUCGUAUGCGCUCCUAAAUAAGUCCGCUCGGACAGCCAUUACCAUUGAUACCGAACUGCCUCUCCCCCUUUCUUUUCCAUUCGUUGGGUCGCAGCCGCCGAGGCCUACGAUGGAAUGGGCGCGAGCAUCCCACCCUUCGCAUCCUCGAGCACGCUCGAGCGUGUGUGUGCGUGUGCGUGGUCCGGAACAGGUUCGUGAAAUAUGAAGACUUUAAUCAAACGGAUGACAGAGAAGAAGAGAGGACGACCGAAACCGUAGCGAUGCGUGCAAUGAAAAAUAAAUGAUCGCUGCGCGGCUUAUCAACUCUUUCGCGGAAGCCCGCUUACAUUCAGAUAAUAACUCGAUCAUGAUGCGAGGUCCCUCGCCGAGCUGGAGGGUCAACUGGUGGAAAAUGGGGUGCGGUCGUUUCCGAAAGCGUUUCAUUCGUCGUCGACACUCGGUUUCCAAGUGUGCCAGUUUCGUCCGUUUCGAUCAGUGGGAAGUUUUUCGAGAAGAAGAGAAAUUUUAUACGGAGUAAUAUAAUCUGAAAUUGUGCUCUAUGAUAUGAGUAAGGAUUUUUCACAAGGGUAGAUAGAUAUAAUAAUUCACUUUUUUUUUGAGACGGGAUCAUAUGGAAGAUUAUAAAUAGGAAUAAAUAGGAAGGUUAUAAAUAAUAUUGUCACGAUGAAUCUUUAAUAAUUUUUCAGUGCUCGGUGUUGGGGAUAUAUUCGCGUUGAAAAUUUUCAGAAUUUUAUGCAUAUAUAUAAAUAAUUGUUGGAUACGUUGUCUUAAAAGGAUGGAAAUAAUUAUAAGCACGAAUUCGCUUGGAGAACGAUUUAACGGAGCAAACUUCGUCCCCACGAAGAAAACGAAAAUCGGAUGAUCCAAUGCAAACAAAUGGUGGUGAUGUUUAUAAUGUAAUUAGAAGGAGUUGUGGCCGCGGUUUAAUAAAGCAAAAUUAAGAGAAGGAACACGGAGAGGAGACGAGGACUCUAAGCUAACUUGAACGUGUCCUCAAAUAUUAAAGUCCAACUUGUACCAAUCUUCAUUACGCUGCCUGCUCGCGUAUCUUCUUCAUCUUCCGGUCCAACAAUCCUAAUGCUUACUGUUUAAGUUAAUUUGCAAACUUUUCUAUCGUCUAUCUUCUGAUUAACUCUGUUGAAGAGCGUCCCAUACGUUUCUAUUAAACCAGGUAAUUUCGAAAGAGUGUAAACGCUGAAUAAUAAUCUGAGUAAAAAAAAAAAAAAAAAAAAUGGAUGGAACGUGAAAAUGAUGGAAUGAAAAAUUAAAUAACGGGGGUGUGAACCCUGGCUCACAUUUUGCAUUCGAGACCAGGGUCCCUCUCGAUCGAUCAGUCGACACGCUGCAUUUUUCACCGGCCCAUUGUGCAUUAAACAUCCGACAAAUUGUAUCGCGGCGUCAAAGCGAUCCCACGACGAUUCGUUUGCGCGAUCUCACCCCUUUCCAGCAUCCAGAAUCCACCGUGAACCCCUCGAUAAGUCGAAUCACUGGCAAACAGGCACGGGAGGGUCGAUGCGAUCACCUAGCUUCCUCGAUUUGGAAAUCUGGUUAAAGCCGUCUGAGUCGGUGCCAGAUCGGGGGAGAGAGAAAGAGAGAGAGAGACAGAGAGUAUGUAUGUGUAUUACGCGAAUAUACGUCAAUUUCGAGGGAAAUAUUUUAUUGGAAAAUUCACUUAUAUCUUGUCAAAUGUUCUCUCGAUCGAAAUUUAGGUCGAUCACUUUUAUAAUUUAUAAUUGAUCCUCAGCGAAGUCUCGAAGAUGUACCUCGGCUAUUUCAAAAGGGGAGAGAGAUUUCUUAUUUUGUACCAAAGGGGAAUUUCCCUGGAGGAUCACCCUUAAGAAAAUGUGAUAAAUUCAGAGAAGAUUAAAGUUUUGUAAUUUUGAUUUUUAUCACGGGAACACGAUAGUUGCGAUUUUACAGUUGGGGUUAAUAAACCGGCUGUUCGAACUGUAAAAAUACAAGAAAUCAAUUACCUUUAAACCCAGAAAUCCGAGCUAGCCGCAAUUUUUCUCUUUCCACUUUCAGUGAUUGCCAAAGAGAUUUAGUGCCGCGCCCGAAGUCGUGUUCGUUUAGAGCGAAAGUGUAGCCGCGGGAUCCGGUACGAAAUUCAUUCUCCUGUCUAUACUACGUGUAUCUAUGCGCUGAACACACUGCUGUUUCAAUCGUCUUUCCUUUUUAGCAUUCUAUUUUUAUGUAUAUAAAUUAAAAAGGAAUAAUCGUUGGAAUUUAACAUUGGUUAAAAUUGGUUUCAUGAUUUAUUUUUAUAAUUAUUACAGAAAAAUGUAAUAAAUAGAUAGUUAUU